rnacentral:lncRNA from 1 species
UGCACAACCUGAAAAGAGCAUCAUAGUGGGGAUUGCAACAAGUGUCUUUCCUUUCAUUCUUUAUUAGUAUUCCUCCAUAACUGCUUGCUUCCCUCUCAUGCUUGUUGUAGCGACCCCAAAACUUCUCCUCGAACUUCCAUCCACCACCAAAACUUUGAUAUGUUUGUACGUGGAAGAGAGGAAACGGGAGAGGAUUUGUGUGUGUGUGUGUGUGAGAGAGAGAGAGAGAGAGAGGA